AAGCUUGUUUGAAUGAAUUGUAAUUCAUAAUUCGAAUGUUAUCGGAUACAGCAUUCCAUAAUUUAACGCCUGUAUAUUUUAUCGAAUUUUGAGUACGUUUGGUUGAAAAAUGAGUUACAUAAUAGGAACUACUGGCAGAGGAUCGUGUUCUAUAAGAAUGCACGCUGCUUUGUUUCAAGAAAUAAUCAGUGAAUGUAACAGGGAGUUUUUUGUUGUGAUGUUGGUGCAUCAAUUUCAAUAUCUCUAAUUUAUAAAUAUCCACCAUUUUAAUAAUACGAAGUUUAUAAUAGAUUGGAUCAAGUUGGGCAUAAGGUCCACUGCCAGAGACAGCACGAAUGGCCCUAUUCUGCAUUAUUUCAAUUUUGCGUAAAAGAGUUUUAUCAGCGGAGCCCCAUGCAGAAAUACCGUAUUGAAUAUGGGCUUGGAAUAACGAGUGGUAAACCAUACGUAAAGUUGAAAUUGGUAUAAAAUGCCUGAGUUUGUACAGUAUUCCCACCGACUUAGAUAACUUAGCAGCCAAGUUAGUUAUAUGAAUAUCCCAUUUCAUUUGACUGUCUAAAUAUAUGCCCAGAUAUUUAUAAGAAUUGACUUUUUCUAAUGUAAUGUUGUCAAUACAGAUUAAUAAAUUAUGAUUGGCUUUAUGUUUAUUUGGUGAAAUAAGCAUAGACUUAGAUUUAUCGAUAUUUAAUGUCAAUUUGUUAGCCUUCAUCCAAUUAACCACUUUUACAAUUUCAGAGUUCACUCGUGACUGUAUAGCUGGUAGAGAUUUGUCACUAUCUAGAAGUAUAGUGUCGUCAGCGAAUAGUUUUGCGAAGAAAGAAGAACAGUGGGUGAGGUCAUUUAUAUAGACGAGGAAUAAUAAUGGACCCAACGUCGAACCCUGUGGGACCCCGUGAGUCACUGAUUUAAAGAGAGGAAUUACACGAGCAACUUUGAGGGAUGAGGGGAAAAUUCCAAGCGAGAGCGAGCAGUUGAACAAUUUAACUAGAAGCGGCGCAAGCGGGUCAGCAACGAAUUUCAGGAAGCGGGGAGGAAUGUUAUCCGGCCCAACUGCCUUUCUCUCCUUCAAGUUUAGAAUUUCCACUAUCAUUUCGGAUUCUGUGACCAAAGUCAUAAAAGCUGAUUUACUAACACGAUUACGAAGAAAUGGCUUAAAUUCACACAUGUCAUUAGAAAACUUGGCUGCCAAGCUAGAUCCAGCAGUUGAGAAGUACUUAUUAAAUUCGGUUGCGAUUAAGCAACCGUCUUUAACUGUACUGCCAUUUUCAAGACAUACUUCAGCUAUCGAAUGCUUGGAAUUAUUUUUUGUGGUUGUGAUUUGAUUAAUGAUUUGCCACGUAGACCUGGGGUUACCCUUGGUCUGGGAAAUAAGAUUUUGGUAGUGAAUUUGCUUCGCUUUGUCUAAUACGGAAGUAAGUGUGUUGCGAUACUUUUUGAAGUAUGAGCGUUGCAAGGGGGUUCCACGUAAAAAAUGGGUU